rnacentral:lncRNA from 1 species
CUGUCCCCCAGCCUGACACCAGUAAAGGGUCUGUGCUGAGGAGGGUUAGUAAAAGAGGAAGGAACGCCUCUUUGCAGUUGAGAUAAGAGGAAGGCAUCUGUCUCCUGCUCCUCCCUGGGCAAUGGAAUGUCUCGGUGUAAAGUCCAAUUGUAUAUUCCAUCUACUGAGAUAGGGGAAAACUGCCUUAGGGCUGGAGGUGGGACAUGCUGGCAGCAAUACUGCUCUUUAAGGCAUUGAGAUGUUUAUGUAUAUGCACAUCAAAAGCACAGCACUUUUUUCUUUACCUUGUUUAUGAUGCAGAGACAUUUGUUCACGUGUUUACCUGCUGAUCUUCUCUCCACUAUUAUCCUAUUGUCCUGCCACAUCAAAAGCACAGCACUUUUUUCUUUACCUUGUUUAUGAUGCAGAGACAUUCGUUCACCUGUUUACCUGCUGAUCUUCUCUCCACUAUUAUCCUAUUGUCCUGCCACAUCCCCCUCUCCGGGAAAUGCCCGAUAAUGAUCAAUAAAUAGUAAGGGAAUUCAGAGGCCGGU